AGCGAACGCUGGCGGCAGGCUUAACACAUGCAAGUCGAGCGGGCACUUCGGUGUCAGCGGCAGACGGGUGAGUAACACGUGGGAACGUACCCUUCGGUUCGGAAUAACGCUGGGAAACUAGCGCUAAUACCGGAUACGCCCUUUUGGGGAAGGGUUUACUGCCGAAGGAUCGGCCCGCGUCUGAUUAGCUAGUUGGUGGGGUAAUGGCCUACCAAGGCGACGAUCAGUAGCUGGUCUGAGAGGAUGAUCAGCCACACUGGGACUGAGACACGGCCCAGACUCCUACGGGAGGCAGCAGUGGGGAAUAUUGGACAAUGGGCGCAAGCCUGAUCCAGCCAUGCCGCGUGAGUGAUGAGGGCCUUAGGGUUGUAAAGCUCUUUUGUCCGGGACGAUAAUGACGGUACCGGAAGAAUAAGCCCCGGCUAACUUCGUG
rnacentral:rRNA from 1 species